UGGGGAAUAUUGCACAAUGGGCGCAAGCCUGAUGCAGCCAUGCCGCGUGUGUGAAGAAGGCCUUCGGGUUGUAAAGCACUUUCAGCGAGGAGGAAGGCGUUAAGGUUAAUAACCUUAGCGAUUGACGUUACUCGCAGAAGAAGCACCGGCUAACUCCGUGCCAGCAGCCGCGGUAAUACGGAGGGUGCAAGCGUUAAUCGGAAUUACUGGGCGUAAAGCGCACGCAGGCGGUUUGUUAAGUCAGAUGUGAAAUCCCCGAGCUUAACUUGGGAACUGCAUUUGAAACUGGCAAGCUAGAGUCUUGUAGAGGGGGGUAGAAUUCCAGGUGUAGCGGUGAAAUGCGUAGAGAUCUGGAGGAAUACCGGUGGCGAAGGCGGCCCCCCUGGACAAAGACU
rnacentral:rRNA from 1 species